ACUCAGAUGUAUGGAACAUGUUAUCUAAAAAAAUUUAUCAGACCAUCGGGCUGACUAGCUGUAAAUUUUGACCGUCCGUGAGAAAUCUAGCCCGUCUCGGGCAGUCGGACGGGCCUUAUUUCAUACACUGGUUGGGUAUGUUUUUCCACUUUGAACAGUA